rnacentral:rRNA from 1 species
UACGUAGGGCGCAAGCGUUGUCCGGAAUUAUUGGGCGUAAAGAGCUCGUAGGUGGUUUGUUGCGUCUGCCGUGAAAACCCGAGGCUUAACCUCGUGGCUUGCGGUGGAUACGGGCAGACUAGAGGUAGGUAGGGGAGAACGGAAUUCCCGGUGUAGCGGUGAAAUGCGCAGAUAUCGGGAGGAACACCGGUGGCGAAGGCGGGUCUCUGGGCCGAUACUGACGCUGAGGAGCGAAAGCGUGGGGAGCGAACGGGAUUGAGAU